UGGUGGAGUGAUUUGUCUGGUUAAUUCCGUUAACGAACGAGACCUCAGCCUGCUAAAUAGCUACGCUUACGUUUCGUAGGCGGCGAGCUUCUUAGAGGGACUGUUGGCGUCUAGCCAACGGAAGUUUGAGGCAAUAACA
rnacentral:rRNA from 1 species